UACGAAGGGGGCGAGCGUUGUUCGGAUUUACUGGGCGUAAAGGGCGCGUAGGCGGCAAUUCAAGUCAGUUGUGAAAACUGGAGGCUCAACCUCCAGACGUCGACGGAAACCGUGUGGCUAGAGUCCGGAAGAGGAGAGUGGAAUUCCUGGUGUAGCGGUGAAAUGCGCAGAUAUCAGGAAGAACACCGAUUGCGAAAGCAGCUCGCUGGAACGUUACUGACGCUGAGACGCGAAAGCGUGGGGAGCAAACAGG
rnacentral:rRNA from 1 species